CCAUAGCCUCACGGGUGAAGGUAAAGAUGGCAACGUCGGCAAGUCUAGUGAUGCUAAGUUAGUUUCUAAUUAUUUGUCAGUUAGGGUUUCUAUUAUAAAGAAACCAGAAUUGAGUGCUCGGGUGGAGAAAAAACAGAGCAGCUUGGAAGUUCAAAACAAUGACACGAACACUGGACUUGAGUCCUUGUGCCAAUACUACGACAGUGACGAGGAGGAUUGAUAUGUUAUAUUAUCAGUUUGAGCGCAUUCUACCUUUAUAAACUUUAAUGUGUAUACUAUAUAACUUGGUAAUACAGGUUGGCUUCGUGG
rnacentral:misc_RNA from 1 species